rnacentral:rRNA from 1 species
AUUGAACGCUAGCGGGAUGCCUUAUACAUGCAAGUCGAACGAGUGGAGGACGGGUGGGUAAUAUAUCGGCACGUUCCCAAUAUCGGCGUCUAACUAGUCUAACGAUUGGCUAAUACCGCAUACUGUUGGAGCGGCCGAUAUCGGAUUAGCUAGUUGGUGGGGUAAAGGCUAACCAAGGCAACGAUCCGUAGCUGGUUUGAGAGGCCGACCGGCCACACUGGGACUGAGACACGGCCCAGACUCCUACGGGAGGCAGCAGUGGGGAAUUUUGGACAAUGGGGGAAACCCUGAUCCAGCCAUCCCGCGUGUAUGAGAAGGCCUUCGGGUUGUAAAGUACUUUUGGCAGAGAAGCGGUAUCUGCAGAAUAAGCACCGGCUAACUACGUGCCAGCAGCCGCGGUAAUAC